UACGUAGGUGGCAAGCGUUGUCCGGAUUUACUGGGUGUAAAGGGCGUGUAGGCGGAGCAGCAAGUCAGAAGUGAAAUCUCCGGGCUUAACCCGGAAACUGCUUUUGAAACUGUUGCCCUUGAGUAUCGGAGAGGCAGGCGGAAUUCCUAGUGUAGCGGUGAAAUGCGUAGAUAUUAGGAGGAACACCAGUGGCGAAGGCGGCCUGCUGACGACAACUGACGCUGAGGCGCGAAAGCGUGGGGAGCAAACAGG
rnacentral:rRNA from 1 species